UGAACGCUGGCGGCGUGCCUACUACAUGCCAGUCGCGCGACCAGAUGAGGAGCUUGCUCCUCUGACGUUAGCGGCGGACGGGUGAGUAACACGUGGAUAACCUACCUAUAAGACUGGGAUAACUUCGGGAAACCGGAGCUAAUACCGGAUAAUAUAUUGAACCGCAUGGUUCAAUAGUGAAAGACGGUUUUGCUGUCACUUAUAGAUGGAUCCGCGCCGCAUUAGCUAGUUGGUAAGGUAACGGCUUACCAAGGCAACGAUGCGUAGCCGACCUGAGAGGGUGAUCGGCCACACUGGAACUGAGACACGGUCCAGACUCCUACGGGAGGCAGCAGUAGGGAAUCUUCCGCAAUGGGCGAAAGCCUGACGGAGCAACGCCGCGUGAGUGAUGAAGGUCUUCGGAUCGUAAAACUCUGUUAUUAGGGAAGAACAAAUGUGUAAGAAACUAUGCACGUCUUGACGGUACCUAAUCAGAAAGCCACGGCUAACUACGUG
rnacentral:rRNA from 1 species